ensembl:lncRNA
AAAAGUCAGAAUUGUGAGAAAAAAAAGUCGCAAUUACCUCUUUUAUUUUUUAUUCAGUGGCGGAAACGGGUUUCCAUACAAUUGGCAUGGCUACAGUUCUCAGAAAUAAUAAUUUUGUCCAUUAUCUAUUAUCCAUUAUCCCGGAGAGAGAUCUUCAUGUGUUUUGCCCACAACAAAACUUGUGUUGUAUGUUGGUCUGGAGCAGGUGGAACCUUCAUAAAGAUGAUUAAGAGCAGGAAUGCUCUUAAAAGCUUUCGGUAUGGAGAUAAAGGACCAAACUCCUUGUCAUCGCUGGUUUCAAAGCACAAGAUAAAGACAAAGCACGAGAUUAGGGGUGCUCCGAUUUAUCGGCAGUCCCUCUAAAGGCCGAUGUCAUAAACCGAUCUCAAGCUGAUGAUGCGCCUGUUGUGAGAGGUUUGGCAUGACAUACAGCGGCACGGUCUCAAUCUCUGUCCGGUGCGGGUAAAAUAAUUAUAAUGCUGAAGGUGAGGUACAAUUCAUAUUUCUUUAUUAAAUAACUUACAGAGUAAUUUGAAAACUUUCUGUGAGACGUAAUUUCACAAACAGCGUGAGUGAAUCACUGUGCGCUCUCUCUCUUUCCCUCUCAAAAUGUGCAGAUAUUGCUUCCUGUGAUUGACGAUCAAUGAUCAGCUCCGAAAAUCCUAAGCACCCUUACACGAGAUCACUCUGCUGUGAGGGUGUAUGGCAAGAUCCCAAGACAUGUUGGGAUCAAGAGAAAUGCCUGACAUGCCAACGUGUACAUCCCGAGAAAAAAUCGGAAUAAAUAGUGAAGAAUAUGAGCAUCAACUCACAUCACGAAAUAAUAAAUGAUGAGCAUUGCAAUGUGUCUGUGGUCAUUUUUCACUACUGGUCUUUUAAAAGAGAA